ACCAUCUUUCCUGGAAGGGAGAGUGUAUCAGAUCCAUCCACGAGAGACCAGGUACGUUAGUUUUCUUUGGUAUGUUGCUUGGUUUUCUUGGCCGUCCCUGUCAAAUAAACAAGAGGGCGAAAAUCAAGUCUUGACAACUAAUCAAGUAUUAUAUUCCGAGUGAAAAUUGUUAUGCAAUAGAUAUUUUUGUACAUGCGAAAAUGGAAGAUGGAUUAGAAUAUAACAUAUCUUAAAUGAUUUCACCCCUCCCCUGUAAAGUCACUGUCCAGCGAAAAUGCAGCUCCACUGACAGGAUACAUGAAAAAUGCAAAGUUAAUCGUGGUUUCACUAAAACAAAAGGGAAUGACACUCGAUAAUUUUUCAUUGAUCUUACAAGGCUAUGUAUAGUUGUAGAAUUUCUUUUUAUCCCCUGCUAUUUAAAAUGCUAAGAUAUAGAAGUCACCAAAUGUCUUGUAGUACGUUUCUAUUUGCUGUAUUUUUCAUUGAUGUUACAAGGCUAUGUAUAGUUGUAGAAUUUCUUUUUUCCCCGGCUAUUUAGAAUGCUGAAAUAUAGAAGUCACCAAUCCUAAAUUCCUGUGCUGAAAUAAAGAGCAUUCUCAAUAACUUAUACACUGACAAUAUAGGAAAACAGAUACUUCAAGCAUUUCAGAUAAUUAACAUAAUGUCCAUAGUUGAGAUAAUGAAAAUACAGAAGUUGAAUCAAACCAUCAUGGAAAAGUUGCAUGAAAGUAGAUACACAUUGACAAAAGCUGGCUCUUCCAAGAAGACAGUUGCAGUCCUAGAGUGCUUACAAGGUCUGGUUUAGCAAAGAUAGCAUUGGUGCCAUUGAUGCUAAAUGCCAAAUGAAACAAGAUCGGGCUGGUACCAAUUUUGUGAGCCUACUUGCCGACCGGAGUUGAGGAAGUCGCUGCUAUCAAGGAGCAGCAGGAAGCUGCGCGAUCCUCCACUGAGUCGAGGACGGCAUUCGAUGGCGGCGAUGUACUGUACAACUGGCUGGAUUCGACUCCCUCUUUCACAUCACUCACGCCUAUCCCGUGCCAAGGCUCUCACGCCGAGCUUCGUCCGCUCCGCGCUGACGGGAGAAGGUCACUGAGCUCCAUCCACGCCACGCCAAUUCCACGAGGCCACGCCGCACGAAAAAGGCCGCGGAAAGAACGCCGAAGCCACCACGGGGGCUGCCGGCGCUGCAGGUCACACGCCCCGCGCGAGGCCGACAGAACAAGGCUUCUUGCUUGCUGCUCCGGCAAGAUGGACGGAGGAGACAAGCUUCUGUCUUGCUGCUCCGGCGUGCUCCGGCGAGCAGGACACAGGAAAAGAGAUGAGUCUGCAUCUAUGGAUUGGUUACGAAAGAGCUGACCGGAGGGGAUGAAGAUAAGGGGCGUUUCAUUUUUAUUUUUAUUUUAUUAUUUAUUUCGUGUUUAGUUUGG
rnacentral:lncRNA from 1 species